GGCACACUUGAUGAACACUAAGGGACUUAAUGCUGAAUAUAUUUGAUGUCUCUACUUAUUUGUUCUGAUGUGC
ensembl:snoRNA SNORD82 Small nucleolar RNA SNORD82